AAGCGGCGGACGGGUGAGUAACACGUGGGUAACCUACCUAUAAGACUGGGAUAACUUCGGGAAACCGGAGCUAAUACCGGAUAACAUUUGGAACCGCAUGGUUCUAAAGUGAAAGAUGGUUUUGCUAUCACUUAUAGAUGGACCCGCGCCGUAUUAGCUAGUUGGUAAGGUAACGGCUUACCAAGGCRACGAUACGUAGCCGACCUGAGAGGGUGAUCGGCCACACUGGAACUGAGACACGGUCCAGACUCCUACGGGAGGCAGCAGUAGGGAAUCUUCCGCAAUGGGCGAAAGCCUGACGGAGCAACGCCGCGUGAGUGAUGAAGGGUUUCGGCUCGUAAAACUCUGUUAUUAGGGAAGAACAAAYGUGUAAGUAACUGUGCACGUCUUGACGGUACCUAAUCAGAAAGCCACGGCUAACUACGUGCCAGCAGCCGCGGUAAUACGUAGGUGGCAAGCGUUAUCCGGAAUUAUUGGGCGUAAAGCGCGCGUAGGCGGUUUCUUAAGUCUGAUGUGAAAGCCCACGGCUCAACCGUGGAGGGUCAUUGGAAACUGGGAAACUUGAGUGCAGAAGAGGAAAGUGGAAUUCCAUGUGUAGCGGUGAAAUGCGCAGAGAUAUGGAGGAACACCAGUGGCGAAGGCGACUUUCUGGUCUGUAACUGACGCUGAUGUGCGAAAGCGUGGGGAUCAAACAGGAUUAGAUACCCUGGUAGUCCACGCCGUAAACGAUGAGUGCUAAGUGUUAGGGGGUUUCCGCCCCUUAGUGCUGCAGCUAACGCAUUAAGCACUCCGCCUGGGGAGUACGACCGCAAGGUUGAAACUCAAAGGAAUUGACGGGGACCCGCACAAGCGGUGGAGCAUGUGGUUUAAUUCGAAGCAACGCGAAGAACCUUACCAAAUCUUGACAUCCUUUGAAAACUCUAGAGAUAGAGCCUUCCCCUUCGGGGGACAAAGUGACAGGUGGUGCAUGGUUGUCGUCAGCUCGUGUCGUGAGAUGUUGGGUUAAGUCCCGCAACGAGCGCAACCCUUAAGCUUAGUUGCCAUCAUUAAGUUGGGCACUCUAGGUUGACUGCCGGUGACAAACCGGAGGAAGGUGGGGAUGACGUCAAAUCAUCAUGCCCCUUAUGAUUUGGGCUACACACGUGCUACAAUGGACAAUACAAAGGGCAGCUAAACCGCGAGGUCAUGCAAAUCCCAUAAAGUUGUUCUCAGUUCGGAUUGUAGUCUGCAACUCGACUACAUGAAGCUGGAAUCGCUAGUAAUCGUAGAUCAGCAUGCUACGGUGAAUACGUUCCCGGGUCUUGUACACACCGCCCGUCACACCACGAGAGUUUGUAACACCCGAAGCCGGUGGAGUAACCAUUUA
rnacentral:rRNA from 1 species